rnacentral:rRNA from 1 species
UACGUAGGGUGCGAGCGUUGUCCGGAAUUAUUGGGCGUAAAGGGCUCGUAGGCGGUUUGUCGCGUCGGGAGUGAAAACCAGGUGCUUAACACCUGGCUUGCUUUCGAUACGGGCAGACUAGAGGUAUUCAGGGGAGAACGGAAUUCCUGGUGUAGCGGUGAAAUGCGCAGAUAUCAGGAGGAACACCGGUGGCGAAGGCGGCUCACUGGACUGGUAUUGACGCUGAGGUGCGAAAGCGUGGGGAGCAAACAGG